GUUGAAACACAUAACAACAUGGAUGACUCUUAAAAUAGUUACGAUGCAUGAAAGGGGCCAGACAAAAACUGCAAAUACAGAAAUCCCCCAUGUUUGAUUACUCCUUUCUGAGACAUGCCUUUUCCCUGCACUGGAAGCUGUGGCAGAAAAGGCUGCUUCCUGCCAGCCCGAGCAGUGAGCUUGGUCCUGCCAGUCUUUCAUCUUCUGACAUGAGCCUCAGUGCUGCGAGCCAAGGGGGUCAGGGCAACUGGGUUCAAGACGCAGUGCUGCACUACUUUGCUGUGGGAACUUAGCAUCUUCAGACAUCUGAGCAGGACCCGAGGGCCUGAGACUGCUGGAGCUGUGAUGAAGCUGGCUGUGUGGUCUGACAUGGACAUGGAAGCUCAAAGGGAUGCCAGUGUUUGUGCAAGGCCACCCAGAGCUUCUCUAAAGAAGUCCCUGCCCCUCCUGUUCUUAGCCCUGGCUGUUUCUGGCAGCCUGUGAACCUUCUGAGCCAGCUACCUGCCCAGUAUGGAGCUUUCCAAGGAUGCCCUAGGGGGCUGAAGCUGAAAGCCAGAGGGGCUUGGAAUUCAUACCGAGAAGACUGGGGAGCCCAGCCACACGAGCGGGAGGCCUGAAAGAACCAGGAGCCUACAGCUGUCUGUCCUGUCCAUCCGUCCAUCUGUCCAUUCGUCUAUCCAUUCUCCAUCUACUUAUUAAUCUAGUCAAUCAGUGUAUGUCAUGGGCCAGGCUGUCUUCUAGGUCCUGAGAAUACGGCUGUGAACAUGAUGGAAAAGGCCUCUGACCCCGUGGGAACUGCUUUUGAAUGAUCCCAGAGACAAGCCAAAACACUAAUUGUGGCGUAAGGAUGGAAACUGAUGAGUCUUCUCUUAAACGGUGGAGGCAGCAAGCGCCCUUCACCUCCUGCCCUGAUUCAGGCAGACAUUUACAAUACAUAUAGAUGUAGCCAAAUGUGCAUACCCAUGCACGCUCACAACGCAUUCCCUCGGACAGCAACCCAGCCACAAAGUCACAGUGUGCGUCCACACACACACUUGAGUGCAUAACUAUCUAAAUACUUGUGGGCACACGCACACAAAUUCCCAUAUGCACACAUCCGUGGGCACAUGUGGCCCUUGCACAUAUUUACAUAUAUAUGCUUGGCAACACGCAGGUGCACACCCCGCUGCCAUAUGCACACUGCGUGCCCAGUCACUUCCUCAGGCACACUCAAGCAUAUGGACACAUAAGUACAUAUAAAUAUGCACACUCGGGACAGUUUGGAUCUGUAUACAUACCCUACAUGUGCCCGCACGCACACUCAUCCGGGCACAGAGGUCACCAGCACAUGAGCUUACACACGAGCACACUUGCACAUAAAUGCCCUCUCAGACUUUGACCUUUCCCCCAAAGCCCCCACACCCUACCAUUUCCCCACCCUAUCCCAGGGGAAUUACCCAGAGCUCUGACAAGAGAAUGGGUUACUAAUGCAGCCACAGAGCUGUUUUGACACUUUUGACGAAUAACAUUCAAUACUAUUAAUUGGAACAAUUGCUUUUCAUU